AUGGGGUUGUGGUUCAGUGAUAGAGCACUUGCCUAGCAUGCAUGAAGCACUGGGUUUGAUUCUCAGUACCGCAUA
rnacentral:tRNA from 1 species